UUGAAGAAGACGCCUUGCCUACUGGCAUGCUAGCUUACCUCCCCUGGCAAGAGCUUAGGACCCACCCGGAGAGAACAAAGGCAUCUGAAAGUCACAGUAAUUGAGAGGAACUGCACUCUGCUAGAUGCAUCGGUCCUCCCCAGUUUAAUAGAUGUUGUACCAGCAAUAACUGAGCAGAAAACCGGAAUCGGAAAGCAGACACCGGACAACAGUAUUCAUUGCUCACGAGGCAUCUACCUGGUCACUACUUCAGGUCACUUUUUUAUUCUUCUACUUUGAGGGCUUCAAGAAUAAUUUGAGAGGCCCGUUUCUUCUCUGCCAGCAUGAAGCCUAUUCUUCUAAAUUGAAGGCAGGAGAAAUGGUUCUUUUUUAUAUAUAUGAAGCCUAUUCAAUGUCAGUUCUCCAGUCUGACUCUCUAAAUUGGUG